rnacentral:rRNA from 1 species
UACGGGGGGAGCAAACGUUGUUCGGAAUCACUGGGCGUAAAGGGCGCGUAGGCGGCUCGGCAAGUGGUGUGUGAAAUGCCCUGGCUCAACCAGGGAACUGCGCCCCAAACUGCCGGGCUUGAGGGCUGUAGAGGAAGCUGGAAUUCCAGGUGUAGCGGUGAAAUGCGUAGAUAUCUGGAGGAACACCGUUGGCGAAGGCGAGCUUCUGGGCAGUCCCUGACGCUGAGGCGCGAAAGUUGGGGGAGCAAACAGG